rnacentral:misc_RNA from 1 species
GUUCAUUGGUUACGGAUGCCAAUUCUGGACUUUCAGGGGGUCCCAAUCUUCAGAGAAGUGCCAGCAUUAAUACGGAGUCCUACAUGCGGUUGCCUGCAUCACCGUUGUCAUUUUCUUCUAAUAACAUAAGUGUGUCUGGUUCAUCAGUCAUGGAUGGAUCUUCAGUGGCUCAGCAAAGCUCUAACCAAGAUCCCAACUCCCAACAACCUCAGCAUAAUCAGCAGCUUCAUGGAACUUCUAGUGCCACCUCUUUGCCAACAUCUCGAGUUGGGCAGGUUCAGCUGGCCAACGGUCAAGGCCUUAGGGUACCAGGAUCAUUCAUCCAGGAUCCAGUUGCUUUGUCACAGAUGCAAAAGAAACCGCGGCUAGACAUCAAGCAAGAUGAUGUUAUGCAGCAGCAAGUUCUGCAACAGUUGUUGCAAAGACAAGAUCCUGUGCACAUGCAGAACCCCAGUCCUCAGUUACAAGCCUUGGUUCAGCAGCAGAGGCUGAGGCAACAACAGCAACAGCAGCAUCAGUUGUUGCAGUAUCUUCCACCAUUGCAGAGAGCCCAGUUACUGCAGCAACAGCAGCAGCUGCAAAUAAGGCAACAAAUUCAACAACAAAGCGUGCAGCCUGUAUCAGGAAUGAAGCGUCCCUCUGAUGGUGUCUUGUGUUCGAGACGGUUAAUGCAAUACUUAUAUCAUCAACGGCAACGACCUUCUGAUAACUCCAUUGCUUACUGGAGGAAGUUUGUCGCCGAGUAUUAUUCCCCACGGGCAAAGAAGAGAUGGUGUUUGUCAUUAUACGAGAAUGUUGGACAUCAUUCACUUGGCGU